rnacentral:tRNA from 1 species
GGCCUUGUAGCUCAGAAGGUAGAGCGUCGUUCUAGAAAUACGAAGGUCGCGCGGGUUUGAUUCCCAGCCGUGGUCA